CGGACUGUAGCGCAGCUUGGUAGCGCACCGUCAUGGGGUGUCGGGGGUCGGAGGUUCAAAUCCCUAUCUCUCCGC
rnacentral:tRNA from 1 species